rnacentral:rRNA from 1 species
AUUAUACAGCGAAACUGCGAAUGGCUCAUUAUAUAAGUUAUCGUUUAUUUGAUAGUACCUUACUACUUGGAUAACCGUGGUAAUUCUAGAGCUAAUACAUGCUGAAAAUCCCGACUUCGGAAGGGAGGUAUUUAUUAGAUUAAAAACCAAUGCCCUCUGGGCUCCUUGGUGAUUCAUAAUAACUUUUCGAAUCGCACGGCCUUGCGCCGGCGAUGGUUCAUUCAAAUUUCUUCCCUAUCAACUUUCGAUGUUUGGGUAUUGGCCAAACAUGGUCGCAACGGGUAACGGAGGGUUAGGGCUCGACCCCGGAGAAGGAGCCUGAGAAACGGCUACUACAUCCAAGGAAGGCAGCAGGCGCGCAAAUUACCCAAUCCCGAUUCGGGGAGGUAGUGACAAUAAAUACUGAUACAGGGCUCUUUUGGGUCUUGUAAUUGGAAUGAGUACAAUUUAAAUCUCUUAACGAGGAACAAUUGGAGGGCAAGUCUGGUGCCAGCAGCCGCGGUAAUUCCAGCUCCAAUAGCGUAUAUUAAAGUUGUUGUGGUUAAAAAGCUCGUAGUUGAACCUUGGGCCUGGCUGGCCGGUCCGCCUCACCGCGUGUACUGGUCCGGCCGGGCCUUUCCCUCUGUGGAACCUCAUGCCCUUCACUGGGUGUGGCGGGGAAACAGGACUUUUACUUUGAAAAAAUUAGAGUGCUCCAGGCAGGCCUAUGCUCGAAUACAUUAGCAUGGAAUAAUAAAAUAGGACGCGUGGUUCUAUUUUGUUGGUUUCUAGGACCGCCGUAAUGAUUAAUAGGGACAGUCGGGGGCAUCAGUAUUCAAUUGUCAGAGGUGAAAUUCUUAGAUUUAUUGAAGACUAACUACUGCGAAAGCAUUUGCCAAGGAUGUUUUCAUUAAUCAGGAACGAAAGUUAGGGGAUCGAAGACGAUCAGAUACCGUCGUAGUCUUAACCAUAAACUAUGCCGACUAGGGAUCGGACGAUGUUAUUUUUUGACGCGUUCGGCACCUUACGAGAAAUCAAAGUGCUUGGGCUCCAGGGGGAGUAUGGUCGCAAGGCUGAAACUUAAAGAAAUUGACGGAAGGGCACCACCAGGGGUGGAGCCUGCGGCUUAAUUUGACUCAACACGGGGAAACUCACCAGGUCCAGACACAAUGAGGAUUGACAGAUUGAGAGCUCUUUCUUGAUUUUGUGGGUGGUGGUGCAUGGCCGUUCUUAGUUGGUGGAGUGAUUUGUCUGCUUAAUUGCGAUAACGAACGAGACCUUAACCUGCUAAAUAGCCUGUAUUGCUUUGGCAGUACGCCAGGAUUAAGAGAGGGAAUAU